AUUGAACGCUAGCGGGAUGCCUUACACAUGCCAGUCGAACGGCAGCACGGACUUCGGUCUGGUGGCGAGUGGCGAACGGGUGAGUAAUGUAUCGGAACGUGCCCAGUAGCGGGGGAUAACUACGCGAAAGCGUAGCUAAUACCGCAUACGCCCUACGGGGGAAAGCAGGGGAUCGCAAGACCUUGCACUAUUGGAGCGGCCGAUAUCGGAUUAGCUAGUUGGUGGGGUAACGGCUCACCAAGGCGACGAUCCGUAGCUGGUUUGAGAGGACGACCAGCCACACUGGGACUGAGACACGGCCCAGACUCCUACGGGAGGCAGCAGUGGGGAAUUUUGGACAAUGGGGGAAACCCUGAUCCAGCCAUCCCGCGUGUGCGAUGAAGGCCUUCGGGUUGUAAAGCACUUUUGGCAGGAAAGAAACGUCGCGGGUUAAUACCUCGCGAAACUGACGGUACCUGCAGAAUAAGCACCGGCUAACUACGUG
rnacentral:rRNA from 1 species